AUGGAGUUCGCAUACAGAGGCCGAGCAACCGCCGCGGCCGACGGCGUCGGCGUCGGCGAUGGCCGCCGCCUCCCCGAUCCUCCGCCGCCGCACGGCAAUGAUGCUGACUCACCACAGGCAGACAUGGUGGCGCUGGUGUUCAGGAGGGAGCAGCUGCUGCACGAGCUCCACAAGGAGCGCAUCCGCCACGAUAUGAUCUUGUGCGAGCUUGCCCAAACAGAGCGUGCCAUGACCGCGUGCUUAGCAGGGCUUGGCGCUUUGCGUGGGUUGCCGUUGAUGACGCCACGGGAAGAGGUGAUGUACCGCACGCCGCGGUCCUGUGAGGAAGCUUCUUGGUGGUACAGGAGUCCCUCGGGGCAAGUGACCUCCUGUUUACCCACACGUUGA
rnacentral:rRNA from 1 species